rnacentral:rRNA from 1 species
ACUCCUACGGGAGGCAGCAGUGGGGAAUAUUGCACAAUGGGCGCAAGCCUGAUGCAGCCAUGCCGCGUGUAUGAAGAAGGCCUUCGGGUUGUAAAGUACUUUCAGCAGUGAGGAAGGUGGGUAUGUUAAUAGCAUACUCAUUUGACGUUAGCUGCAGAAGAAGCACCGGCUAACUCCGUGCCAGCAGCCGCGGUAAUACGGAGGGUGCGAGCGUUAAUCGGAAUUACUGGGCGUAAAGCGCAUGCAGGUGGUUUGUUAAGUCAGAUGUGAAAGCCCGGGGCUCAACCUCGGAAUUGCAUUUGAAACUGGCAAACUGAGUACUGUAGAGGGGGGUAGAAUUUCAGGUGUAGCGGUGAAAUGCGUAGAGAUCUGAAGGAAUACCGGUGGCGAAGGCGGCCCCCUGGACAGAUACUGACACUCAGAUGCGAAAGCGUGGGGAGCAAACAGGAUUAGAUACCCUGGUGGCUCUGC